UAUUUUAUUGUUAGGUUAUGUUUAUUACCGAACUUCACACUUGUUUGAUUUUUAGCGCCAUCUUUUAGGCAAACAAUUAAGUUAUCACAACAUAACCUAACAACUGACAUUUUAACGAUUUGUGGUUAUUGUGAAUUUUCGAACUGGGGCUGUAGCUAACCCUAAUUUAAGAUCGGCAGCUGUUGGUUUACCCAUAGUUUCAGUUGAAGAAAUAAAAUCUAAAAGAUCAUCAACGAGUUGAAAACCUAAGCCUAAAUUUCGUCCAUAUUGUGUUUUCGAUUGAGAAGAAGACGAAGAAGAAAGUAACAUCUGACCUACUUAAAGUAGCAAGGCCACUCUCACCUAUACGAAAAGCCAACGUACCAACAAUCGUCUCCGUGAUCGUUAACAUUCCUCGAUUACAUUCAAAAAAACAAAUAUGGUUAUAAUCUUUUUCGAUAAGAUUUUGAGUUCUAAGUUGAGAUUAAAUUGGAAUUGAACCUCCAAGAUAAACAUGUAAAUGGAAUAUUUUGAAAGUAAAAUUAAAAUCUAAAAUCGGUGCCAAUUAGAUUCUGGUUACCCAGAGGCGAACCAGAAAGUAAAAUAAUAAAAAAAAAAAAGAAAAGUUGAAAAAUUCAACAACGGUAUUAUAGAUAUUCUGUGAGCGCCUGUUGCGGAAUCGGUCAGAAUCGGAAAAUGAAAGUGUGGAUUUUGAAAGCCAAUAUGAGCCCAACGUUCGGCGAUAAGCACUUAUAAUUCAAGUUAAGAACGAGCGCGACUUUUAUGUUAUAAAAGAAAGUCGUCGCGUCGUUUGGACGAAGAUAGAACUCGUCGCGGGAAAGUUUUCGCCAAUUUCAAUUUGCAACAAUGCUUGUUCAUUAUUAUUUGUCUUGAUUAACUCCCAAUUAAAAAUGUAUCUUAAUAAAUUAAAAAGCAAAAAAAUUGUCUUAAUUAAUUAACCAAUAAAA